rnacentral:rRNA from 1 species
UUAACACAUGCAAGUCGAGGGGUAACAGGGCCUAGCAAUAGGCCGCUGACGACCGGCGCACGGGUGAGUAACACGUAUCCAACCUGCCGAUAACUCGGGGAUAGCCUUUCGAAAGAAAGAUUAAUACCCGAUAGCAUAAGGAUUCCGCAUGGUCUCCUUAUUAAAGAAUUUCGGUUAUCGAUGGGGAUGCGUUCCAUUAGCUUGUUGGCGGGGUAACGGCCCACCAAGGCAUCGAUGGAUAGGGGUUCUGAGAGGAAGGUCCCCCACAUUGGAACUGAGACACGGUCCAAACUCCUACGGGAGGCAGCAGUGAGGAAUAUUGGUCAAUGGGCGCUAGCCUGAACCAGCCAAGUAGCGUGAAGGAUGACUGCCCUAUGGGUUGUAAACUUCUUUUAUAUGGGAAUAAAGUGAGGUACGUGUACCUUUUUGUAUGUACCAUAUGAAUAAGGAUCGGCUAACUCCGUGCCAGCAGCCGCGGUAAUACGGAGGAUCCGAGCGUUAUCCGGAUUUAUUGGGUUUAAAGGGAGCGUAGGCGGAUUGUUAAGUCAGUUGUGAAAGUUUGCGGCUCAACCGUAAAAUUGCAGUUGAUACUGGCAGUCUUGAGUACAGUAGAGGUAA